rnacentral:rRNA from 1 species
CUUAAUUUGACUCAACACGGGAAAACUUACCAGGUCCAGACAUUUGAAGGAUUGACAGAUUGAUAGCUCUUUCAUGAUUAAAUGGGUGGUGGUGCAUGGCCGUUCUUAGUUGGUGGAGUGAUUUGUCUGGUUAAUUCCGAUAACGAACGAGACCUUUACCAGCUAAAUAGUAAUUAUUAGGACUUGUCCUAGUAAGAUAUACUUCUUAGAGGGACUAUUGGUUUUUAAACCAAAGGAAGUAAAGGCGAUAACAGGUCUGUGAUGCCCUUAGAUGUUCUGGGCUGCACGCGCGCUACAAUGAUCAACUCAUCAAGUUAUCUCAACUUGUUUGUGAUUUACUUUUCCUGAAGGAAUGGUUAAUCUUCAACGUUGAUCGUGCUUGGGAUAGAUAAUUGUAAUUAUUUAUCUUGGACAAGGAAUUCCUAGUAAUCGUAAUUCAUCAGAUUGCGAUGAUUACGUCCCUGCCCCUUGUACACACCGCCCGUCGCUGCUACCGAUUGAAUAAUCCGGUGAACUCGUCGGAUUGUGGUAAAUAUUUAGUCUUCGGGUUAAAUUUUGCUGCGAGAAGUUGAGUAAACCAUGUUAUUUAGAGGAAGCAAAAGUCGUAACAAGGUACC